AUACCUUUCUCGGCCUUUUGGCUAAGAUCAAGUGUAGUAUCUGUUCUUAUCAGUUUAAUAUCUGAUAUGUGAGUCAUCGACUCACAAGAUAUUAACUCUAUUUUUUUAGGGGGAGAGACCAUUACGGUAGCUUGCUAUCGGGGCUCUUAGGUGUCGCCUUGGUGUUGCACUAUUACCUUGGCCUGGCACGUCCCAC
rnacentral:snRNA from 1 species